CCUGACAAUCUGGAGACCACCAGGCCCGGUCGGAGGCCCCUUUCGUCUUUAUUCAGAACACAAGGAACGGGUUUCAGCAGCAGUGCUGACGAGAGUGACUGGGAUUACUCACAGCGUGGUUCAAAAAGCCAGAGGCUACAAAUAUCCCCAUGAUUCAUGCAAGAGUUUGCCAGAUGGUUUUAGCUGUUUUGGAGUCUGAGGCUUCUUCGGAAGAGAACUGGCAUAAAAUAACUUGUUUUUGACAAUGCCACUUCUUAAUAGUGUGUAGGGGAAGAGGAAACAUUUGGUGCUCCUUCUCUGUGGAACAGAAGUCCAGCAGGAUCCUCCCCCGCCCCAUAUGGAGUGGGACAGUGUGAAAAAACAAAAUUGGCAUAUAUUACAUAGCCAUUGCUAUAUUUGGUAACAGAUUUGUUUCCAUAGAAGACAGCACCUUGCAGGAGGCUAAAAGGUUCUAGCAACAACUGCACAUGCAAUGUGGAUGUUAUAUUUAAUAAUUCCUAGAGAAGCAAAAAGCACAUCACUUCCUUGGAUAGAGGCUGAGCUGAAUCACUGUGUGGAUUUUGCUCUCUUUGGACUAUAUGACACUUGGGGCAGUCUGUUAUACUCUCAUUUUGUUCUAGUUUGUUUCAAACUCCAUUGUUUUUAUUAAUGUCAUUUCAUCACUAAUAAGAGAACCUGGAUUGCACAAGAUGCCCAAAGGCAUAUCUGUUUCAUGCAGAUUACUUUUUUGAUCUAGUUUCCCUAAAUAGUUAGAAAAGGUUGGGCAAACCAACUUGCCACAAAUUUUUUUCCAACUAGAACACUGACACAGCUUCUUUUCUAAAUCUUUGUCAUGAACAGUAAAUAGGCAAGAAAAUCUACUUGUAAUUUAUUCCAGCUAUUUUGUACUUCUUACAGUAUUAGAUUUUGAAUCAAGUGAGUACAGAUUUACCUUGAUGUAUCCUGCUGGUGGGUAAUGAAGGUAAGUCUUGUGGCAUGUCUUGUGCCUAAGCCAGCUAAAGCACUGGAAUGACCACGGUGGAUGAGAACAAUGCCUGAGGUAGAACACAAUGCUGUUCUCUGGCCAUCUCCUGGAAAGAUGAGGACUUCUGCAACUUUGAGACCUAUAGCUAGAAGUAGCCUGUAUCUGAUCUUGAUAGACAAUGGAAAAGAAAUCCAGUUGCUUUCUUAGUCCUCUGAGCUUCCAGCAUCUACAGCUUGAUGUCGUUCCACAGUCCAACUUCAUGCUGGGUGGAAAUCACUCCUGUAUGUUCUGUGCCUUCUGUCUGGUAUUUCCAUAUGAUGUCCCCUGACUUUUGCAUUAGUUAACUGUUCUCUCACCUCUCUCUAUGCCACUCCUUGUUUUGCAGAUUUCUAACACAGAUUCCUUGCACUACUACCAUACUCAUCUCUGUUUCAGGCUGGCAGGUCUCACAUUUUCCAGGUGCAGUUUCAUAGUACCUCCAACAGGUCGGAGUUUCCAUCUCUCCUGCAGACUGCAUGUCCUUGCUGCCAGCUGGAUUCCAGGUGCUUCAGGUUGUGCACUUCUGCUGAGUGUAACUCUUCCCUCUCCUGUCCUCUCCUUUUGUGCCCUCCCUGCUGGAGAUCUCACCAAGCAAUGGAACCACCUCAUCAACCUCUUCUUGGCCAUGGACAAGGUGGAGCCCCACUCUGCAGGGUUUGUCCACUCAUGUCCCCAGAGCAGGCACCACUGACGGACAUUUAGACAUCAGUGGUGUUCUUGGGGAUGCUCAACAAAGAUGAACAUCUAGGUCAAACUAAUAAUUUCAGCAAAAUUGAAAACUAAUUUUGGUUAAUUACAAUUAAGGAAAAAAUAUAAUCUGUCAGGUUAUCAUUAGAAUAACAAGUUCUAAAAUUAUGCUUACUAAGACAGGGUGAAGAGUCAAAUACACUUUGUUAUGUGGAGGCUUUAGAAAGAGCACCAUGGGAAACCUUUCCUGCAGCUACAGUAAGAAGCUCUCACUGAAGAUCUCUGUGGGAUGUGAUGAGUGUAACAGCACUUCCCAGACAGUGAAGUCACUCUGCACUGACGCUGAUUUUCAGCCUUAACACAGAGGUCAAAAGAAGAGAAAGGGAUCUUGAGGAGAGGCUGAAGCCAAGGCCUCUGGUUUUCACCCAGGAUUCAGUGCAAGAUUGCAAAGAGUAAAGAGCUUCUCACCUCAUUCCUGAUAUCAGCAAAAGGAUUGCAUAAUCUUAGCACUUCUAAUCUAAGUAAUAAAUCAAUAUCUGGA